GAUGAAUUUCUGGCUCUCCCAGCCCAGGCCUGCGGACACAGCUGCAGAGGCCACAAACGACUGCAUGACCGUGUACGCCGAGGUGGGACCUUCCCAGCAGCACGUCCCUGAUGGAACCAAAGCCAAACCAGCGGAGGGGGGACCCCCCUCAACCAUUUAUUCCCUGGUCAAGCGUCCAGAGCAGGUGGAUGGAGGGACAGCAGAAAAUGCCACCGUGACCGGCCUGGAGCUGGUCUAGAAGGACCCAGAACUGGUUUGAAGAUCAAGAGAUUGAUUUAAAGGGACUGAAACUGGUUUAAGAACAUGAAACUGGUUUAAAGGACCUGCAACUGGAUUAAAGGACGUGGAACUGGUUUCAGAACAUGAAACUGGUUUAUAAACCUGGAAGUGAUUUAAAGAUCUAUUUUUAUGAGACUGGGCCUGGUUUACAAGAAACCAGAACUGAUUUAGAACUCAUUUAGAAGAAGAUGCAACUUCUUUAAAAGGACCUGGAACUGGUUUAAAGAACCUGGAACUGGUUUGAAGAACCUGGAACUGGUUUGGAAGGACCUGGAACUGGUUUAAGUGGUCUCCACUCCCUGAUCAGACAGAUGGACACCACAAGGUGGCUCCAGAACCUCUCCAACAUCCCCAAUCCUGCUCCAGACCCGAAUCUGACGGAUCUCCCCCUUUUGGAGUGUCCCUUCCCCUCCUCAUCUCUGCUGCUUCAAUUUCCCCCUCUUUGGGAUUUCAGGGAGGAUUUUUUUGAACUUUCCAAUGUUUUUGGGAUCUUUCCCCACGUUUUUGGCAGCUCUGUGGGAUUCAGGUUCCUUUUCCCACCCUCUCCCACCGGAAUUUGCGACCAAAACUCUGCCAAAGCUGCCGAGACUCCCAGUCAGGCUGGAGGAGACUCUUAAAAAGGUUUUUCCAUGGAAUCCUGAAAUUCCCGAGGGUGGAAAAGCCCUCCAGGACUGUCAUCCCUAUCUUGAUCACCCAAACCAGCAUCCAGUGGGUUCUUUGGAGACGUCCAGGGAAGGCUCCAAACCAGCCCCUUUUUGCACGGAAAACUUAUUUUUAAAAGCUCAGGGAUUUGUUUUAUAAAUAAAAAAUAUACUUUUUUAAAUUUUUUUUUCUUCUGCUGCGUUUUGAGCCUUGCAAAGCCCUCAGCUUCUCGCAGGGCUGAAAACCACCAAAACCAACCAAAAAUAACGCCAGGAAGUUAAAGCGGAACAAGAAGUGACGCCACCCUUAUCAGAGCUUGUGUGGUUUCAGCACCUGCUCCUUUUCCUCACCUCCGGAACGUUCUGAAUUUUACAGCCCCCCAAAAGAACCCCCAAAACCUCGGCCCCACCAAUCCCUGCAGGGCCAGGGUUCAGGAUUUGGGGUGGAUCUGAGGGAAAACGGGACAUGGAGAGCGACUUUAGGGUGUUUGGUUGUGGGGUUUGGAUUUUGGGCUGCACUGCUGCAGCUGGGUGGAUUCCCAGCAGGAAUUUGGGAAUUCCAGAAGGAAUCCCAGAAGGAAUCUCAGCAGGAAUCCCAGAAGAAAUCCCAACAGGAAUCUGGAAAUCCCAGCAGGAAUUUGGGGAUCCCAGAAAGAAUCCCAGCAGGAAUCCCAGCAGGAAUUUGGGAAUCUCAGCAGGAAUUUGGGGAUCCCAACAGGAAUCUGGAGAUCUCAACAGGAAUUUGGGGACCCCAGAAAGAAUCCCAGCAGGAAUUUCAGCAGGAAUUUGGGAAUCUCAGCAGGAAUUUGGGGACCCCAACAGGAAUCUGGAGAUCUCAACAGGAAUUUGGGGAUCCCAGAAAGAAUUUGGUGACCUCAGAAGGAAUUUGAGGAUCCCAUCAGGAAUCUCCAGGAGCAGAAUUCCUUCGGGACGUGCGUCCUGCUGGGGACAAGAACCCAAGCAGGCGACAUUGGACACGUUCCCCCCUUUCCCUUCUCCCCAAAUCCACCUGGAAACGGCAGAAAUUGCCCCAAAACCACAAACUGACCUGGAUUUUCUGAUGGCUCCGAAAUUCUAGGAAUUCUUUUCCCUGCCGUACCUGUUCCUGCUGCUCUUUGUGCUUUGGUGAAUUAUUCACUGGUGAAACCAAAGCUGCCUUUGAAACCUCUGGAAUAAAAAUUCCAGGAGCGUCAAGCUCCAUUCCUACCUGCACAUUUUU